rnacentral:rRNA from 1 species
CCUACGGGUGGCAGCAGUGGGGAAUAUUGCACAAUGGGGGAAACCCUGAUGCAGCGACGUCGCGUGAGUGAAGAAGUAUCUCGGUACGUAAAGCUCCAUUAGCAGGGAAGUAAAUUACGGCACCUGACCAUGAAGCUCUGGCCAACUACGUGCCAGCAGCCGCGGUAAUACGUAGGAGGCCAGCGUUAUCCGGAUUUACUGGGUGUAAAGGGAGCGUAGACGGCAGCGCAAGUCUGAAGUGAAAUCCCAUGGCUUAACCAUAGAACUGCUUUGGAAACUGUGCAGCUGGAGUGCAGGAGAGGUAGGCGGAAUUCGUGGUGUAGCGGUGAAAUGCGUAGAUAUUAGGAAGAACACCAGUGGCGAAGGCAGCUUACUAGACUGUAACUGACAUUGAGGCUCGAAAGCGUGGGGAGCAAACAGGAUUAGAUACCCGGGUAGUC